GUGGGGAAUAUUGGACAAUGGGCGGAAGCCUGAUCCAGCCAUGCCGCGUGUGUGAAGAAGGCCUUUUGGUUGUAAAGCACUUUAAGCGAGGAGGAGGCUCUUAAGGUUAAUACCCUUGAUGAGUGGACGUUACUCGCAGAAUAAGCACCGGCUAACUCUGUGCCAGCAGCCGCGGUAAUACAGAGGGUGCGAGCGUUAAUCGGAUUUACUGGGCGUAAAGCGUGCGUAGGCGGCUGAUUAAGUCGGAUGUGAAAUCCCUGAGCUUAACUUAGGAAUUGCAUUCGAUACUGGUCAGCUAGAGUAUGGGAGAGGAUGGUAGAAUUCCAGGUGUAGCGGUGAAAUGCGUAGAGAUCUGGAGGAAUACCGAUGGCGAAGGCAGCCAUCUGGCCUAAUACUGACGCUGAGGUACGAAAGCAUGGGGAGCAAACAGGAUUAGAAACCCGAGUAGUCC
rnacentral:rRNA from 1 species